rnacentral:rRNA from 1 species
UACGUAGGAGGCGAGCGUUGUCCGGAAUUACUGGGCGUAAAGAGCGCGUAGGCGGCGCGGUACGACCGCUGUGAAAGCCCCCAGCUCAACUGGGGAGGGUCAGCGGUAACGGCCGUGCUAUGAGUGCAGGAGAGGGAAGUGGAACUCCGGGGAGUAGCGGUGAAAUGCGUAGAGACCCGGAGGAACACCAGUGGCGAAGGCGGCUUCCUGGUCUGCGACUGACGCUGUGGCGCGAAAAGCUAGGGGAGCAAACGGG